GGAGGAGAUGUGGGUGGAGCGAUGGCUCUUUCAGGGGGCGGGGAAACACAGGCCACCAAUAGGAACACAGUGUUACCUAACGCACAGUGGGCGGGACCGACACGAGAAAAAAAAAGUGGCAGUCCCACAGGCGAUUGUAAGGAAAGAUGGGAUUGGAUGAUGUGUCCGGAAAUAGAUGAGGAUUUCCGAGUAGUCACGGAGAUUGCCGGAAACAGGCGAUUGGAUCCGAAGUGAGCCGAAGGACAGUCAUAGUAAUCAUUACUCCAUUCCAGAGGAAACAAAUGAAAGCAGGAGCUGUAGUUUCCUCCAUAGGAGAGGAAGUUGUGCAUAUCCUGGAGAAAGCUGAAUGUUCUUUGCUGCAUUGCCUGUGUGGAUGAUCCAGUACGCUUUAAAAAGCACUAAAGUUCUUGCAAAAAUCAAUUCUGAGAGGGGAUAAACCAUCUGAGUACUUACCUAUAAAACUGGUGCGGGAUAUCUUUUGGUGUCGCUAUAGUUGGGGAUUUUGCUUCGCCUGCCGGCAUCUGGUUUCAUGCUGAACGUUAUUGUCAACUGUUCCGAAGCUCUCAUCUUCGAAGGGAUGUUUCCUCAUCCCUCUCCCUCUCAUUCUACUGAUCCCUUCUCCCCAAAUGUUUGUUUUAUAAAAAACCUCAAUAAAACUUAAAAAAUAAAUAAA